AGCGAAAGUUUACCCUGCAAGACGGAGGUAACAGAUUGCACAAACACAUUGAAACAUUUUCAGCUGUUCACUAACACUGUUACAUUUUCUGGAAUUUUCAAUGGAAUGGGAGAAUACGAGAGGCGAAUACCCAAUAUUUCAAGAAGAAUAAACGAAAAGCGCAGUUUAUUUUGGAUUUUAAAGAGAGAAAACGAAAGAGGUUAACAAGGAGAAAAAGAAAUCAUUUGGACCAUUGGUAAAAUUCAAAUCUAUUGCGUGCAGCAACCAAAUAAUGGAGUAUGUUUUAAAUUAUUAAAGUUAAAUAGUGUAUAUUUCAUUCAAAUAUUUGUUAUAGAUUGUGCAUUUUAUUUUGAUUUUAUUAUUAAAUAAAGAGAAAUAAUAAAAAACUGAAUUUUAUUUAAAAGAAUUUAAUUUGCUAGAAGUAACAAAUGGGUAACAGAUAAUCUUGUUACUGCUUGUUCUUCCUAACAUGCUUAUAUGUUAAAGGUAACAAACUGAUAACCAAAAUAAUAACACUAACAGAUAUUCAGGUAACAAAUACUUUUUGUUAUCCAUAACACAUGGGUAAACUAAGCGCUAACAAAAUAAUUUGUUACCCGUAACAUACUGUGAAGAGAUUUGCUAACAAAUGUGUGUAUUCUGUUAGAACAAGGCAGCAUGCGAUAUUUGCCAUUGGUUAGAGCGAGAUAACCAUUGAACAUCAAAUAGCUAUGUGUUACUUUUUUCCCACUCUCUGAACAAAAGUAACAAAUAUUUUAACGAAUGCAAAAGUGAACAAUAACAAUUCGCUUACACGUUUGCUAACAGCUACCCGUCUUACAGGGUACUUCAUAUCGGAAUUGUACAGUUGUGCGAACAAAAAGAGGUAAACAUAAUUUGCAGGGUUUAGAGUUUCGCAUUAAAAUUUGUUUUUAUUUACCUUUGCAUGGUGGGAAAUUCUAAUCACUGUUAGGAAAAAAUAUAUAAGUUAUACUUGUAUCUAAAAACAAUUUUAUUUAAUAAGAAAACUGCACAUUUUAAAACUUCACAACACCCAUAUUUGUUCCUAUUUUGUUCACACCACUGUACAUCACAUGUACAUGUGAUCGAUCAGUUAAUGGUGGUGAUGCCAGUUGUAAAAAUUCAUUUUAGAUACAAUUGGGCAAACUUUUCUCAAGUUGUGGGCUUUUAUACGUACAUAUGCAUAUCUGCAUAUAUAAAAAAGAAAAUAUACUUGUGACCGUUAUAUUUACAUAUUGUGUUUAAACAUAUUGCAGUUCCAUUUAAUGAAAAUGCUUAUAUAAAUAUAUGAUUUGUGAUAUUUUCAGUUUGUUGUUUGUUAUUUAAUUGAGGUUUUUUUCUAUAAUUGUUUUGUUAAAUUUUAAAAAUCUAAGUUGCCUCUGGAAAUGUAUUAAAAUAAUAAUAUGCGCUAUAGAAAGGGAACACAUAUUUUCAAAAGAUAAGAAAUCAUCAAAUAAAAAUAUACAAUAUUUGCGCGGUAUGGCAUUAUUGAUUGAGAGUGGCUAAGCACACAAAUAGAAUACAAACGCUAUUGGCAGACACAUCUUCUCACUUCGCCACGAGCGGCAAGCGUUUUGUUCUCGUUUUCAUUCGAACAAUGUUGCCAUUACUCAAUACGCAUAUGUAGUUUUGUACACAUCUAAGUUUUCAAUUAUAAUUUUUCAUAAUAAAAAAUAUCAAAACUGAAAUCAAACUAUUAAAACUAGUUUACAUAUUUGUAAAUAAUAGUAUUCGAUUCGGAAUUUGAGUUAUUUUAAGAAAAUUUCAAAUAUAUUGAAGACAAUUUUUGUAAUUACUACAGUAUAUCGAGCCUGGCAACCCUGCGGUGUGAGAGAGCAAUCAGCUGAGUCGUUGGAAAUUCUAGGAUUGGCGGGUGGUAGAAGGGUUGUUGGCUAAUUAUUUACAUUGCGCUCUCAUAAGAUUCAUUUGGUCAUAUGUAUUUGAAGAAACAGUGGUUCAUAAACUGAAGUUAUUAUUGAAAUUACUUUUUGUAAGGAAGUUUAAAGAAAUAACCUGGUAUGAAACUUUUUGCUUCGAAAAUUAUAUAUAAAAUAAGAAGUAGGUUAUCUGAUUUAAAUUUUGGUACUUGGUACAAUAAUGCGUGGAGCUAUAGCAAAUGGCAUUAACCAAACAUAUAAUUUAUUAUUUCAAAUAAACAUAAUUAAAUGCUGAUAUAAAGACAUAUUAAAAAAAUGAUUACUAAAAUCAAAUAUUUAUUAUACUUUUUGUUAUUUGUCUUACAUUUUAUAAAUUUAUAGUAGUUACAAAGAAACUUAAAAUUGUUAGGCAAUUUUACUGUUAUUACCCACAGUGCAACUCCCCAUAUAUGCGUGCGCUGUCAUUUGUAAACAUGGUGUGGAUACGUUGCUCUUACUUCCCUCUUCAUGUUUGCCCGCGAUGAUCCCCUCACCUAGCCCUCAAAAUGUGCACUCGUGUCCGCACGGGCAAAUGCCACUGAGGGCUAAUAUGCCCAUCC